rnacentral:rRNA from 1 species
AUGACGUCAAGUCCUCAUGGCCCUUAUGCCCUGGGCUACACACGUGCUACAAUGGGCGGUACAAAGGGUCGCGAACCCGCGAGGGGGAGCCAAUCCCAAAAAGCCGCUCUCAGUUCGGAUUGCAGGCUGCAACUCGCCUGCAUGAAGCCGGAAUCGCUAGUAAUCGCGGAUCAGCAUGCCGCGGUGAAUACGUUCCCGGGCCUU